AUGGGAAGGAUGUGGCAGAGGGGAGGGUGUGGCGAGGGUGUGGUUAAGCAGAUAAGUAGUGAUCGAUCGCCCAUCCUUCAGCCAACCCAUUAUUAUCCUCAUCAUCAUAAACAACAACAACAUCAACAACAACAGCUAAAACGCCUCACUAAUAACUUUAAUCACUAUCUUCGGCGUUAUUGUCAUCGUCAUCAUCAUUAUCCUCAUCAUAAGACAUCUUUUCUAAUGACUAUGAAGCGGUGAUGAGAAACGUCACGAAGCAACGCGCAGUACCAACAUUUAUAAAUCAACGGAAACCUGUAGCCAGCCUCACAGAAUAUCAGGAAGCUGCUGAUGAUUGAUCGUAUAAACUGAAACUGAAGGCAUAGUUGCUUGCUUCAUACACAAAAGGUUAAUUAUCAAAGAAAAGCCUUGUUGAUCCUAGCGGGUCUUUGAGAACAGCGGCUCGACCCCAGUGAAACUCCUGUUCGAGCUUCGGGUCGCGCCGGGGGUGGUGGUGGUGGCGCUGGUAGUAUCGUCGUCCGUGACGGCUGGGGAACACGUGGCCCUGGCUGGUAUCCUGGCUGCUACUGAUGUAGGUGAGGGCGUUGGCAGUGGGUGUGGGAUUUGUUGGGGCGGGUCGUUCGACUGGUGGUGUUGGACCUGAAGAUAUAUCCCGGUCGUGGACGCAGCAGGCACCGCAAAGACUUGGCGACAGACGAGAACAGAUACGCGUGGCACGUAAACACAACAACCCUUCAGUAAUUGGUAACAAGCAUGGGAAGAUUGGGAAGAGAAGGAAGAACAGCAGCCUUGAAUACAGAGCACAGGAAGGAAACAACAACAGCAACUAAAAUGACUAUUAUGUGGCAGUGGCUGAGUGGUCAGUGCACAGUUGUGGUGAUCUCAAGAAUCCAGGUUCGUCCCACCACAGGCAGCUGACAAUUUUCAACCAUCACUGAGUGGCAGAAGAUUACCCACAUGCUGUCCAGGUCUACAAUCAACUAUUACUUCAGUGACUUCAGUCAAGAGGAUCACCAGGGGGGGGGCAAAUCAUACAUCAUAGCAGCCACCUAUAAUAAAUUCACCUGCACCAGUACUAACUGGCUGGGGCAAUCCCAUGAGCCCCUCAAAGAAGCCUACUGGCACUAUGGGCAUCACACACACACAGAAAAAGUGGCAAACAAAUGUUAGUACUAGUGAAUUUUAGCACUUAUGAAAUCCCCAUUAUUUGGGUGGUUGAGAAAUGUAUCCCCAUCUAGGGUCUUGUGACCCUGCCCAUGGAUAUCAGUCACUGCAACCCCUGACCUGGGUUGGUUAGGGAAAGGACCUCCAACCCUGCCUCUUUACAACCUUAUCCCAGUGAUCCCUGAUCUGGUUUAGCUGAGGAGCCUGGACACACAGUGGGUUUUCUUUACGAAUCCACAUUGGGCAAGUCUGCUGCUUAUGGCAGGAACAAGGCAAAGACUACUGGAACCCUGCAUCUUGAGGGAGGAUGGGUGGGGUGCUUGAUUAGCAAUGCCUGCCUACAGAACCAGGAACAUGGUCAACCUAUGAAGGGCUCUGUGUGUGGGGUCCUGGUACAUUUUGAGCCUCCCAGAGGAUCACAGACAGUCUUGCCAAUUGAAUGAGCUCAGAAGGCUGAAGGUGGAUAUGGUGGGAUUCUCAGAUGAGAAGGCCAGGGAGUGGCAAGAUCAGUAAUGGCAGGUGCACCCUCUACUGGUCUGGCAUGGGCAAUGAUACCAGUCAUAGCUAUAGGCAUCUCCAGCCAACUUCAGCAAUUUUCAGUUGAUGAGUACAAAGCCAUUUUCCAGUGAAUACUCCUACUGAGGCAUGUAAAGCUGAAGAGAAUGUGUUCAACACAAACUCUACUCCUUAUUAGACCAGUGCCCCCUCAGGACAUGCACACUGUUUUGGACAACUUUAACCCUUUGGCUUUGGGUAACGGCUUUAGCCACUCAUAGAGAAAGCUUCAGGGAGCAGCUCUAGCCAUCCUCUGCCCAACUGAAAGUUACAAGUCAUCCCAACACCAUAUCUCCACCAUGCUGCAAUCUAGACUAUUACAGUUCCUUUUAUCUUGAAGAGGAUGGACUGGCAGUGAGAAAACACUAUACUAUGUUAUUGUGUUUCUAUUCGAAAUUACCAUACAGGGCACUGAUGAAAACUCCUAGUUUUCCGAAUUAAUCGAUAGAGCCUGCACGUUGGAAAGAUCACAAUCAAGUUCUAGGCCAAAGUCUAGGGGUUAGUGCCACUACUGGCACUGACAGAGCCGGCUGAUUUUUGUGUUUUAUACCCUUGGUUCUGGUACCAGGAACAUCCAUAGCUCUCUCCUGCAUUUUGCAAGAUCCAGGAGGUUGCGAAUUGCAGGUUUUUGGUAUUGAAGACCAGUGCUGCAAUGCUGGAGAGGUAGCUAAAGAGGUUGACCACUUCCUUGUAAGCAAUCAUUGGAAGAUCCUUCAGAAAUGCAGGGUUUUCAGAAAUCCAUAGUUCUUUGCAACUGAUCAAAGGUGUUAGUUCUUUGCAACUGAUCAAAGGCUUGUUGCAACACAAGUUUCAUGUCAAAUCUAGACGAAUCUAAAGAUGCAACCAUACAGUAUUUUAUAAUGAGAGACAAAGACUUGGUAUGUGCCCAUGAGGAGGCAGCAACAGCCUCAAAUUGCCUGUAAUGUAACACCACUGGCCUGAGUCCUGGGGGAUUGAACAUAGGCCUUCCAAGUAGAAGUUAGGGCAACAAACCAACUGAGCCACCAAUGAGUUAAAUGGUCACCAUGACAGAGGCCACUUCUGCCUAACACCCCAGUUCCCACCAUGGACUUGGUGACCUUGCUCACACUCAUGGUAACUGGAGAAGCUUUUAAUCAACCGGCAAUGGGACAUACAAUGUAUAUAUACAUCAGAGAAACCACAAUAACACAGUGAAAAUAUCCUGUAAUGUAACAUCACUGAGUGUUAAGGGAUUGAACCCAGACCUUCUGAGUAGAAGUGAGGGCAGCAAACCAAUUGAGCCACUGAUAAGCUAAAAAGUUACCGUGCCAGAGGCCACUACUGUGGCCUAUUCCUGACACCCUAGCCCCCACUAUGGACAUGAAGGUAAAGGGAUAGGCUACAGUAGUGGCCUCUAACAUGGUGACCUAUUAGCUCAUCGGUGGCUCAGUUGGUUCGCUGCCCUGACCUCUACUCAGAAGGCCUGGGCGUGAUCCCCUGGCACUUGGUGGUUACAUGAUGUGAUUUUUUCACUGCAAUAUUGCAGUUUCUGUAAUGUAUAUAUACACUGUAUGUGCCAUUAUGGGUACGAGGAGAGACAAGGAAAGGUAUGUCAGGAGUCUUGCUGAGGAUGUCUAAGGCCAUUUAUAUGCAAAGGACCCCCAACCUGCCUACCAAACCCAGAGACAGCUCUGCUCGGAGCCUCCUUCUCAGGUUAGCACUAUUCGUGGAGCAGAAUGUUGCCUUUUGUUAAGGCGUGGAUGGGCAAAUGUCUCAUUGGGAUGAGUACUUUGAGCACUUGUACAUGACAGACCCUCUGAGCAGGCAGCUUCCAACCGAUGGGCUACAAAUAGCAGAUGCUGAUCCACCCAGUGACAAAAGCCUCUCUGGUAAGGUCAGAGAGGCUGUGGCAAGGUUGAGAGGUAGAAAGGUACCUGGUAUUUGUAACAUCAGUGUGAGAGCUGCUCAAAGCUCUGUGGUAUUAUGCUGCUCAGUGUGCCAGGCAAGGUGCUUAUCCAUCUGUUGCUCAUGUGGAUUUGCAACCAGCUGCUGAAGCUGAAGAGACCUAAGCAGUCUGGGUUCAUGCCUAAAAUCAACAACUGGCGGUAUCUGAGCACUUUGCCUACUGGUGGAGCAUCAACGUGAGUUUUGGCAGGGGAUGACUGAAGCCUAUGUCGAUCACAAGAAGGAGUUUGAUCAGUGCAUCACAAGGCACUUUGGGGUCUACUGCAACUCUGUGGGAUUCUUGCAAGGACCGUUGACCUCCUGACUGGCUAGUACGAGAGAGAGAGAGAGAGAGAGAGAGAGAGAGAGAGAGAGAGAGAGAGAGAGAGAGAGAGAGAGAGAGAGAGAGAAAAUUUUGAUUUUGAUUUUGUGAAAUGCCAGAAUUUGCUCUUUACUACACUCCCACAUGACCUCUGCGUGUAAUGAAACACACGAGAAAUCAAUCCAGACAAGGACAGGUUUUGCCGGCGCCGGGGAUCGAACCAGUGAGACGGGAGAGCCACUCCUUAACCAGUCGGCCAAAGAGGUACCCCACUGGCAGAGGAAAUUAUGGGAGGCUCGCCCAUCAGGCUAGUCGCCGCACUACACUUGUGAUACUGGAGGUCAUUUGAAAAAGUAGCAGGAGUGUGAAGGGUGGGCACUAUGUCAUGGCUAACACAGACUGGUUGGACUAUAAUAUGCAAAGUGCUAGGCUAAGGUCAGUUGUUGACCUACCAAACUUGAACCCAGACUGCUCAAGUCUCUGCACCUUAAACAGCUGAUUGUGAAUUUGCACCAGGAAAUAGGUGGGGAAGCACCGUGCCUGACACACUGAGCAGUGUAAUAUCACAAUAGUUAUUGCAGUCCUAGUGGUCCCCUUUCCAUGUAGGGAUGACCAGCCCCCUCUUCAAGUCAGGAGAAAUGGUACCAGAUUGCCAUUUAGCAGUCAAGCUUUGAGCAGCUUCACACUGAUGUUACAAAUACCAGCUGCCUUUCCACCCCUCAACCUUGCCACAGCCUCUCUGACCUUAUCAAGAGAGGCAUUUGUCACUGGGUGGAUCAGCAUCUGCUAUUUAUAUACUAGCAGUUGAAAGCUGCCUGCUUAGAGGGUCUGCCAUGUACAACUGCUCAAAGUACUCCGCCCAAUAAAUUCUCUGCCCAUCCACGUCUGACGCAAGGCAACAUUCUGCUCACCUGAGAGGGAGGCUUGGAGCAGAGCUUCUUAAGGGCUCAGUAUGCAGGUUGGAGGUUGUUUGCAUUGAAAUGGCCCCCAACAUCCUCAGUGAGACUUCCUGAUUCCCAGCAAGCCUGGCAGCUGGAUCACUGUAAAGCAAUUAUCUUUCAUGGAAAAA